AACGAACGCUGGCGGCAGGCCUAACACAUGCAAGUCGAGCGCCCCGCAAGGGGAGCGGCGGACGGGUGAGUAACGCGUGGGAACGUGCCCUUUGCUACGGAAUAGCCUCGGGAAACUGGGAGUAAUACCGUAUGUGCCCUACGGGGGAAAGAUUUAUCGGCAAAGGAUCGGCCCGCGUUGGAUUAGGUAGUUGGUGGGGUAAUGGCCUACCAAGCCGACGAUCCAUAGCUGGUUUGAGAGGAUGAUCAGCCACACUGGGACUGGGACACGGCCCAGACUCCUACGGGAGGCAGCAGUGGGGAAUCUUAGACAAUGGGGGAAACCCUGAUCUAGCCAUGCCGCGUGAUCGAUGAAGGCCUUAGGGUUGUAAAGAUCUUUCAGUUGGGAAGAUAAUGACGGUACCAACAGAAGAAGCCCCGGCUAACUCCGUGCCAGCCGCCGCCGUAAGAC
rnacentral:rRNA from 1 species